rnacentral:tRNA from 1 species
GCGGGUAUGGUCUAAUGGCAUGAUGCGACCUUCCCAAGGUUGAGAAGGGGGUUCGAUUCCCCCUACCCGCA